CUGCUCUCCGGGCUGCCGGCACCGGGACCGGCGAGGAGGAUUUGGGAGAAUACGGAAUAUGGGAGUGUGGACACACACGGCCAGGCGGGGCACGGGGAGGCUGCGAGCUCUGCCCCUGUCCCAGCGAUGUCUGCUGAUCCCAGGCACGACCUCCUCUCAUCUCAAAUAGAGAAUUCAGUUUGUCCCUCUCACUCCUGACCCUAAUACCACUGGCAUGCUUUUGAUCUGAAGACAGAAAUGAGGCUGUUCCCCAAGGAGAGGUAGCUACUCCUGGAGCUAAGCGCUGCCUGUAGGAGCAACUUUUUUCUCUUCACACACGAAGUGGAAAACUGUAGCCUGCUCUGCACUCCUGUCACAGCCCAGCAGCUGGAAAACUGUUUUAGGUGAUUUCUACAAUCUGUAGUUAACUUGAGCUGCAUUUGGAAACAUGGAAAUAGAUUAAGGAAUUCGGUGUCAAAUAAUUAGGCGAUACAGCUGAGAACUGCUUUCAUAAAACAAUGUCAAAUUAUUGUCCCAAAUGUUCAGAUGCUCUAAGUUUCAGGAAGUUGAUUUAAUUGCCUGACUUAGGGUAAAAUGGGUUUUCCACCACCUAAUAACUGCUCCCAAAGUAAAGUAACAGUUACAAUUUUGAAAUAAAGUAAUGAUCAACCUCCA